UCUCAGCUUGUUUGUGAGGGGGUAUAGGUCCUGUGUAUUUGUGACAGUGUGUGGGGUAAGUUGGCAGUGAGUGGGGAAAGUGUUGUGUGUGUGAUAAAGUUAGGUCUGUGUACAGUGUUGUGUGUGUGAUUAAGUUAGGUCUGUGUACAGCGUUGUGUGUGAUAAAGUUAGGUCUGUGUACAGCGUUGUGUGUGAUUAAGUUAGGUCUGUGUACAGUGUUGUGUGUGUGAUAAAGUUAGGUCUGUGUACAGUGUUGUGUGUGUGAUUAAGUUAGGGCUGUGAAAAGUGUUGUGUGUGUGAUUAAGUUAGGGCUGUGUACAGUGUUGUUUGUGUGUGAUUAAGUUAGGGCUGUGUACAGUGUUGUGUGUGAUUAAGUUAGGGCUGUGUACAGUGUUGUGUGUGUGAUUAAGUUAGGGCUGUGAAAAGUGUUGUGUGUGUGAUUAAGUUAGGUCUGUGUACAGUGUUGUUUGUGUGUGAUUAAGUUAGGGCUGUGUACAGUGUUGUGUGUGAUUAAGUUAGGGCUGUGUACAGUGUUGUGUGUGUGAUUAAGUUAGGGCUGUGUACAGUGUUGUGUGUGUGAUUGAGGUUUGUUUUCCAGUGGGGUAUACUGUAUUGGUGUGUUCCAGAUCGUGAGUGAGGGUAUGUGUUGUGUGUUUGUGUCAGUGAAUGGGGGGGUAUGUGAUAUAGUGGGGUAUGUCCUGUAUGUAAUAUAUGUAUGUAUACUGCCAGUUAGUGGGAUGCCAGUGCGGGGCAGGGCAGUGGACAGACUCAGAUCAUUCCUGUGAUUUAACAUGACACCACUUGCACUAAGACUGCGACAGCUGCGUAUGCACAUGCCGCCAAUUCUGUUUGUUGUAGGGGCUUACGCUGCGAUAAAAGGCCAAGUGCAGAGUAGUGUGGCUGGGCCCAGAGCAUUACUCUUUCCCCCCAAUUUAGAAGGCU
rnacentral:lncRNA from 1 species